AUUGAACGCUGGCGGCAGGCCUAACACAUGCAAGUCGAACGAGUGGCGGACGGGUGAGUAAUGUCUGGGAAACUGCCCGAUGGAGGGGGAUAACUACUGGAAACGGUAGCUAAUACCGCAUACCAUCGGAUGUGCCCAUAUGGGAUUAGCUAGUAGGUGGGGUAACGGAUCACCUAGGCCACGAUCCCUAGCUGGUCUGAGAGGAUGAACAUCAACACUGGAAUUGAUACACGGUCCAGACUCCUACGGGAGGCAGCAGUGGGGAAUAUUGCACCAUGGGAGCAAGCCUGAUGCAGCCAUGCCGGGUGUAUGAAGAAGGCCUUCGGGUUGUAAAGUACUUUCAUCGGGGAGGCGUGACUCGCAGAAGAAGCACCGGCUAACUCCGUGCCAGCAGCCGCGGUAAUAG
rnacentral:rRNA from 1 species